rnacentral:rRNA from 1 species
GAUGAACGCUGGCGGCGUGCUUAACACAUGCAAGUCGAACGGAAAGGCCCUGCUCUUGUGGGGUGCUCGAGUGGCGCACGGGUGAGUAUCACGUGAGUAACCUGCCCUUGACUUUGGGAUAACUCUAGGAAACUGGGGCUAAUACCGGAUAGGAGCUCCUGCUGCAUGGUGGGGGUUGGAGAGUUACGGCGGUUGGGGAUGGACUCGCGGCUUAUCAGCCUGUUGGUGGGGUAGUGGCUUACCAAGGCUUUGACGGGUAGCCGGCCUGAGAGGGUGACCGGCCACAUUGGGACUGAGGUACGGCCCAGACUCCUACGGGAGGCAGCAGUGGGGAGUAUUGCACAAUGGGCGGAAGCCUGAUGCAGCAACGCCGCGUGCGGGAUGACGGCCUUCGGGGUGUAAACCGCUUUCGCCUGUGACGAAGCGUGAGUGACGGUAAUGGGUAAAGAAGCACCGGCUAACUACGUG